rnacentral:rRNA from 1 species
UACGUAGGAGGCGAGCGUUGUCCGGAAUUACUGGGCGUAAAGCGCGCGCAGGCGGCAGUCUAAGUCCUCUGUGAAAUCACCCGGCUCAACUGGGUGGCUGCGGAGGAGACUGGGCAGCUUGAGGGGCCUAGAGGCCGGUGGAACUCCCGGUGUAGUGGUGAAAUGCGUAGAGAUCGGGAAGAACACCAGUGGCGAAGGCGGCCGGCUGGGGGCGCCCUGACGCUGAGACGCGAAAGCGUGGGGAGCGAACAGG